UACGAAGGGGGCUAGCGUUGUUCGGAUUUACUGGGCGUAAAGCGCACGUAGGCGGAUCGAUCAGUCAGGGGUGAAAUCCCAGAGCUCAACUCUGGAACUGCCUUUGAUACUGUCGAUCUGGAGUAUGGAAGAGGUGAGUGGAAUUCCGAGUGUAGAGGUGAAAUUCGUAGAUAUUCGCAGGAGCACCAGUGGCGAAGGCGACUUGCUGGAUCUUUGCUGACGCUGAGACGCGAAAGCGUGGGGAGCAAACAGG
rnacentral:rRNA from 1 species